rnacentral:rRNA from 1 species
UAAGGAAUAUUGGUCAAUGGACGCAAGUCUGAACCAGCCAUGCCGCGUGAAGGAUUAAGGUCCUCUGGAUUGUAAACUUCUUUUAUCUGGGACGAAAAAGGCGAUUCUUCGUCACUUGACGGUACCAGAUGAAUAAGCACCGGCUAACUCCGUGCCAGCAGCCGCGGUAAUACGGAGGGUGCAAGCGUUAUCCGGAUUCACUGGGUUUAAAGGGUGCGUAGGCGGGCAGGUAAGUCAGUGGUGAAAUCCUAGAGCUUAACUCUAGAACUGCCAUUGAUACUAUCUGUCUUGAAUAUUGUGGAGGUAAGCGGAAUAUGUCAUGUAGCGGUGAAAUGCUUAGAUAUGACAUAGAACACCUAUUGCGAAGGCAGCUUACUACGCAUAUAUUGACGCUGAGGCACGAAAGCGUGGGGAUCAAACAGGAUUAGAUACCCUGGUAGUCCACGCCCUAAACGAUGAUUACUCGACAUUUGUGAUACACUAUAAGUGUCUGAGCGAAAGCAUUAAGUAAUCCACCUGGGAAGUACGACCGCAAGGUUGAAACUCAAAGGAAUUGACGGGGUCAUAGCUGUUUCCUG